GUUCAGGCCACAGUAGAAGAAAGGAGCAAGAGCACUACAGUUUCCCCUCUGGCUGCCAGCAAACCACCUUAGGAUUCAUUCUGAAUGCUUCAGCACGGACACAACUGGCCUGACAUCCCCAUGACUAAACUCCAUAUCUCACUGCUAAGAUGGACAACACUUUCCUACUGCAUAAAUUUAAUUUUUCACCGAUGAGGAAAAUGUCUCAUCUGCCAGAGGAAUGGCAUUGUAGAAAGAUAUUUGUCCUGGUAUAAUUUUUAGGUUUCUGAUUCAGAGCAUGAAACUUGAUUCAAAACAGGAUCAAAACCUAGAUGAAAAUCAUCAUAAACUAUGGUCCUCUGGACUGGUGAAGAAAGGCUACAAGAAACAGUUUGACCCUGAACAGAACUCCUUGACCUGGAAGAUGCAGCUGAUGGAGAACCUGCCUCUCAUGUGUACUUCUGGAGAACAAUGAGCUAUUCACUUCUGCUGUGCUGCAAGGCUUAUUCACUUUAUGGUCAAUUCUCAAAUGUCUGUGAGAAGAUUAUCUGGGUUAUGUAUUAUAUGUG
rnacentral:lncRNA from 1 species